UACGUAGGGUGCAAGCGUUGUUCGGAUUCAUUGGGCGUAAAGGGCAUGUAGGCGGUUAUAUAAGUGUGGAUUUAAAGGUAUAGGCUUAACCUAUUUCAUGGUCUGCAAACUGUAUGACUAGAGUUCAGAAGGGGAAACUGGAAUUCCACGUGUAGGGGUGAAAUCUGUAGAGAUGUGGAAGAAUACCUGUGGCGAAGGCGAGUUUCUGGUCUGAUACUGACGCUGAAAUGCGAAAGUGCGGGGAGCAAACAGG
rnacentral:rRNA from 1 species